CAGCUUGACUGCGAGCGUGACGGCGCGAGCAGGUGCGAAAGCAGGUCAUAGUGAUCCGGUGGUUCUGAAUGGAAGGGCCAUCGCUCAACGGAUAAAAGGUACUCCGGGGAUAACAGGCUGAUACCGCCCAAGAGUUCAUAUCGACGGCGGUGUUUGGCACCUCGAUGUCGGCUCAUCACAUCCUGGGGCUGAAGUAGGUCCCAAGGGUAUGGCUGUUCGCCAUUUAAAGUGGUACGCGAGCUGGGUUUAGAACGUCGUGAGACAGUUCGGUCCCUAUCUGCCGUGGGCGCUGGAGAACUGAGGGGGGCUGCUCCUAGUACGAGAGGACCGGAGUGGACGCAUCACUGGUGUUCGGGUUGUCAUGCCAAUGGCACUGCCCGGUAGCUAAAUGCGGAAGAGAUAAGUGCUGAAAGCAUCUAAGCACGAAACUUGCCCCGAGAUGAGUUCUCCCUGACUCCUUGAGAGUCCUGAAGGAACGUUGAAGACGACGACGUUGAUAGGCCGGGUGUGUAAGCGCAGCGAUGCGUUGAGCUAACCGGUACUAAUGAACCGUGAGGCUUAACCUUACAACGCCGAAGGUGUUU
rnacentral:rRNA from 1 species